UGACGGUUGAAAAAAGAAUGAGAAGAACGAAUGCCUUUGUUCCAACAAUUAAAAAGAGUGAAAAUGAGAAGAAGAACCAGAUUUGCCCAUUGUUCUUUACCAUCAAAUCUCCAUUCUCCUCUCGCCAAUAACCAUUGAAGAGACAACCAUUCCUGAUGAUCUUAGAUAUAAGAAGGUUUGGAUUCUUUGCAACGACUGUAAUGCCACAAUUGAAAUAUUCUUCCACAUAAUCGGGCAGUAAGUGCAGUCAUUGUCAAUCAUACAACACUCACAUGAUUGCACCUCUUGUUCUUUCUCAGUAACUUUUAUUCUAGACAAAACUGAUUGUUUGUGAUGCUGAAACCUGGUGCGAUGAACGUGAGACCGAAGAAAU